rnacentral:lncRNA from 1 species
UCCGCAUAGGGGGAAAACCCCGCAAACAAAAUAGAGCCAUGGCUCUUCUAAGAAAAGGCCUCGAAAUGGUUUGCCGAAGAGGAGCUAAAGACAAAUAAGAAUCUAUUCUACAACACUAAUGGACAAGAUCUUUAGGAUCUUAUGGUAGUAUUUACAAGUCCGUGUUGGUGUCAAAGUGCGCAGAAUCACAAGGAAGACCUCAGAAGGCGCUAGUCUUAGCUUCGUCCUGCCUGCUAAUUCCCCACCAGCAUCCCCUCAGCCUCCAUCACCAAUUCCAGAGGAGGUUGAGACUACAGCUCUAAAUGGGGAGGGGCGUUUGAUGGAGGACGUACAAAAUGAAAUGGCCUUUGAGGAGGAUGAGCACUUUGGGGAUAAAGAGGAGUGAAGUCCGCAUUAGCAGGAUGGGCGCUUCUUCAAAAGAGCCGUAGAACUAGACCGUGAGGAGCGCAUGGGUCGUAAAGUCCCGAACUGCACUGUUGGCUAUCCACUUCUUCCUUCAUUUAUGCGGUUCACAAGAAAUCACGAUGAUGACGACGAGUAUUGAGUUCAGGCCUGGAUGAAUGUUGCACGAUGCCAUCGCAUGCCGCUUCAGAUUGGAAGCACUUAUGAUAUGUCUAUAUAUAAAUGUUGAGGUGGUAUUCAAAGUGUAGCUUAUAGGGUAAUUUAAGAUUUUAUACUUUUAAGCUUGGUUAUAAUCCUCUACUUUUUACUUUUUCCACAUUUGGGAAACUGGAUUAUAGAUGAUUAUUUCAGUCUACAGAGAACUAUAAUCCUGUUUGAAAAAAUAUAGGAAAUAUUAAUGCAAUGAAACGGAACCAAGUAUAUCUGCGAUGGUAACCUGCAGCCUGGGCCUAGUAUUGUCUGGUCAGUUUUAGCAUCUUGCCUUCACAACUCCUCUCCCCUUAAAUGAGUCUUACCCACUAUCUGUUUACUUGUCUAUUACCUUGGAUGCUUUCCCAGCCAGCCAAAGACAUAGAGAUUUUUAUGAAAAUUGCUGGGUUCUAAAAUCCAUUACAUUCAUAAUUGCCUCACUAUGUGAAUAUUUGUCAUUGUAUUAAACUUUACAACCAGUAGAUUUGCUUUUCACAUCGACCUGUGUUGCACCAAAUAGCUUUUGACUGGGCACAAAUAGAAUGUAUAAUUGUUGUUUAUCUGGUGAAAGGGGAGGUAUGAAAUUGAAAAGAAAACUUUUAGUAUUAAAGAAUAUUUUACAUUAAGUUUACCUUAUACAUAGAAAGGUAGAGAUUCAUUUCAUAUAGUAGUAUUUUUUAGUUACUCAAGCAAUUUGAUCGUAGGUGUAUGGAAGAAUCAUGAUGUAUGAUUGAUUCAAAACAUUAUGUUGGGUAACUGCCUACCCACAGAAUCAAGACAAUGUUUUUUCUAUUCUAAAACUGGUAUCCAGUCUUUUAUGAUUUAGAUUGCCAGCCAUACAUAAGGUUUCUUUAAGGGUUUGUUUUCCUAAUUUUCAAGAAGGCAAUGUAACAGUUGAUCCUUCUUUUUGUGUGCAGCACUUGGGCACUUGAUCCUUUUGUAUGUGUAGUAAUUGGAGGACUUAUCUUGGUUAAAGGCCUGUGUAUAGCUUAUAAUCACUGCUGAAUAGAAACUUGAAUGAAUAUGUAAUGGUAGCACAUUGGGAAUGUAUUCUAUACAAAAUAUCCUUUUGAGACAUGUACUCCUAAGAUCACUGCCAACCCAAUAUUUCAACAUUACUGAAGGUGUAAGCUGAGAGAAUUUUGAUAAUACAGAUGUUCCUUGGAAGCAUAUAUGAAACUUCACAUGACUAGUGCUGAAGUUUACCUUGGAUCACCUUUUCUUCAAGAAUUUGCUUCACUACAGGUUCAGAACAGUGCUGCCUGAAACAGACGUUAGGAAUGAGUUUAACAAAGCAUAUUAAUUAUCUGGCACUAAACUGCACUAAGGUAAUUGAUAAUAGCAUACUUUAAUUGGAAGAUGAAUACAUUGUUACUACACUAGAAGGAUUGCCAAAAAUCCCAAACUUUGUUCCAUGCAGCUUAUCUAACACAUUCUGUGAUAGGCUCUGUAGUAAUUCUACUUUGUUAUUGUCUUGAGUCUCUCAACAAUACCAUUAUGAACAAGUUCUGUAUUAACUUAUUUUUGUCUUCUGAGCAUAAUGGUAACUACCAUGUUGUAUCAACUUGUAAUUGUACUGUAUUCAGUGCUUCUUUUAUACUAUGCAUUUCUCACAGAGCUUGGCUUUUGAUGGACAAUUUAAGCAAUUAAAAAUGUAUUCGGGAAUUACAGUCUUAUCAUUAAGGAUUAACUGGAUUACUAUGGAAAGGGAACUUCACCAAUGUAAUUUAUUCUGAUUUUGGGUGUGAUUACUAGAGCUUGCUUCUUUUUAUCAUUAUUAUUUUUAUUUUAAAUAUUGUCAUCAUUUCAGCAAUCAAAUUAUUUUUUAUUGUGAUUAUAUUGUCAUCAUCAUCAUCAUCAUCAUCACCAUCACCACCGCCACCACCACCUCCCUUUUUGUCUUUUAAGUUUCCAUAUUGUAUAAUUGUGAAUGAAUUUUCUUGUGAAAAUGAACUAGAAUGGUAGAUGAGUUUACUGCAAAAAGUGCCCAACUUAUGGUUUGUACUGUACAGGAUUGUACAUAGGCAUUCAGUAAAGUUUUCUUUCCAUAA